rnacentral:lncRNA from 1 species
UAUGAAAAGCCCUGGACUCCUGUUUUAGUUUUUAAGACAUCAAGAGAUCAUACGGGAAUUGUUAGACAUGCCUUUCAGUACAAUCUUGUUUCUGGAGCCAUCAGGAGUCCCUUAAACAGCAGACGGGCUCCAUGUGACUCAGUGAAGGCACACAAGCUGCUGUCCAACACCAUUGCUUCUCUCUUGUGUUUAUUGUAUGCCAGUCUCACCACACUGUGCUCGGAGCAGUUUCCCAGGGAGUGUUCUGUGGGGUGCUCAUCAGAAGAAGAAACAGAGUUUUGUGAUCAAGUAAGAAAUGCUACUGUGAGCAGAGUCAGUGGGAUUCUUUCCCAAGGGAUGUCUUAGCCGCUAAAGCACUAAUGUGUAUUAUGAGGGUGGUAUGUUAAGUAGUGUUUUCCAAACUUUAUGUGAGCACAAACUUUUUAUUUGAAGAACAGCUGUUAGUAUCUGUGUCCAUUAUCAAAUUCUUGUCUUUCAGCUCAAAUAUGCUCUUUGUGGCCCUGAUUGUGAUACUGGAAUGGUUUUCCAUUGCCAGCCAGCGCAAGGUUAUGUUUAAUAGGUCGAGGGUGCUGGAGAAACUCUGGAG